rnacentral:tRNA from 1 species
UUGAAGGCUAGUGGUUUUCACGAAUGAGUUUGGAUCAUUAGAUGGAGUUAAAGUCUCCGCCUUUAAUC